rnacentral:rRNA from 1 species
GGGUUGUGAGGUUAAGCGACUAAGCGUACACGGUGGAUGCCCUGGCAGUCAGAGGCGAUGAAGGACGUGCUAAUCUGCGAUAAGCGUCGGUAAGGUGAUAUGAACCGUUAUAACCGGCGAUUUCCGAAUGGGGAAACCCAGUGUGUUUCGACACACUAUCAUUAACUGAAUCCAUAGGUUAAUGAGGCGAACCGGGGGAACUGAAACAUCUAAGUACCCCGAGGAAAAGAAAUCAACCGAGAUUCCCCCAGUAGCGGCGAGCGAACGGGGAGCAGCCCAGAGCCUGAAUCAGUGUGUGUGUUAGUGGAAGCGUCUGGAAAGGCGCGCGAUACAGGGUGACAGCCCCGUACACAAAAAUGCACAUGCUGUGAGCUCGAUGAGUAGGGCGGGACACGUGGUAUCCUGUCUGAAUAUGGGGGGACCAUCCUCCAAGGCUAAAUACUCCUGACUGACCGAUAGUGAACCAGUACCGUGAGGGAAAGGCGAAAAGAACCCCGGCGAGGGGAGUGAAAAAGAACCUGAAACCGUGUACGUACAAGCAGUGGGAGCACGCUUCGGCGUGUGACUGCGUACCUUUUGUAUAAUGGGUCAGCGACUUAUAUUCUGUAGCAAGGUUAACCGAAUAGGGGAGCCGAAGGGAAACCGAGUCUUAACUGGGCGUUAAGUUGCAGGGUAUAGACCCGAAACCCGGUGAUCUAGCCAUGGGCAGGUUGAAGGUUGGGUAACACUAACUGGAGGACCGAACCGACUAAUGUUGAAAAAUUAGCGGAUGACUUGUGGCUGGGGGUGAAAGGCCAAUCAAACCGGGAGAUAGCUGGUUCUCCCCGAAAGCUAUUUAGGUAGCGCCUCGUGAAUUCAUCUCCGGGGGUAGAGCACUGUUUCGGCAAGGGGGUCAUCCCGACUUACCAACCCGAUGCAAACUGCGAAUACCGGAGAAUGUUAUCACGGGAGACACACGGCGGGUGCUAACGUCCGUCGUGAAGAGGGAAACAACCCAGACCGCCAGCUAAGGUCCCAAAGUCAUGGUUAAGUGGGAAACGAUGUGGGAAGGCCCAGACAGCCAGGAUGUUGGCUUAGAAGCAGCCAUCAUUUAAAGAAAGCGUAAUAGCUCACUGGUCGAGUCGGCCUGCGCGGAAGAUGUAACGGGGCUAAACCAUGCACCGAAGCUGCGGCAGCGACGCUGAUGCGUUGUUGGGUAGGGGAGCGUUCUGUAAGCCUGUGAAGGUGUGCUGUGAGGCAUGCUGGAGGUAUCAGAAGUGCGAAUGCUGACAUAAGUAACGAUAAAGCGGGUGAAAAGCCCGCUCGCCGGAAGACCAAGGGUUCCUGUCCAACGUUAAUCGGGGCAGGGUGAGUCGACCCCUAAGGCGAGGCCGAAAGGCGUAGUCGAUGGGAAACAGGUUAAUAUUCCUGUACUUGGUGUUACUGCGAAGGGGGGACGGAGAAGGCUAUGUUGGCCGGGCGACGGUUGUCCCGGUUUAAGCGUGUAGGCUGGUUUUCCAGGCAAAUCCGGAAAAUCAAGGCUGAGGCGUGAUGACGAGGCACUACGGUGCUGAAGCAACAAAUGCCCUGCUUCCAGGAAAAGCCUCUAAGCAUCAGGUAACAUCAAAUCGUACCCCAAACCGACACAGGUGGUCAGGUAGAGAAUACCAAGGCGCUUGAGAGAACUCGGGUGAAGGAACUAGGCAAAAUGGUGCCGUAACUUCGGGAGAAGGCACGCUGAUAUGUAGGUGAGGUCCCUCGCGGAUGGAGCUGAAAUCAGUCGAAGAUACCAGCUGGCUGCAACUGUUUAUUAAAAACACAGCACUGUGCAAACACGAAAGUGGACGUAUACGGUGUGACGCCUGCCCGGUGCCGGAAGGUUAAUUGAUGGGGUUAGCGGUAACGCGAAGCUCUUGAUCGAAGCCCCGGUAAACGGCGGCCGUAACUAUAACGGUCCUAAGGUAGCGAAAUUCCUUGUCGGGUAAGUUCCGACCUGCACGAAUGGCGUAAUGAUGGCCAGGCUGUCUCCACCCGAGACUCAGUGAAAUUGAACUCGCUGUGAAGAUGCAGUGUACCCGCGGCAAGACGGAAAGACCCCGUGAACCUUUACUAUAGCUUGACACUGAACAUUGAGCCUUGAUGUGUAGGAUAGGUGGGAGGCUUUGAAGUGUGGACGCCAGUCUGCAUGGAGCCGACCUUGAAAUACCACCCUUUAAUGUUUGAUGUUCUAACGUUGACCCGUAAUCCGGGUUGCGGACAGUGUCUGGUGGGUAGUUUGACUGGGGCGGUCUCCUCCUAAAGAGUAACGGAGGAGCACGAAGGUUGGCUAAUCCUGGUCGGACAUCAGGAGGUUAGUGCAAUGGCAUAAGCCAGCUUGACUGCGAGCGUGACGGCGCGAGCAGGUGCGAAAGCAGGUCAUAGUGAUCCGGUGGUUCUGAAUGGAAGGGCCAUCGCUCAACGGAUAAAAGGUACUCCGGGGAUAACAGGCUGAUACCGCCCAAGAGUUCAUAUCGACGGCGGUGUUUGGCACCUCGAUGUCGGCUCAUCACAUCCUGGGGCUGAAGUAGGUCCCAAGGGUAUGGCUGUUCGCCAUUUAAAGUGGUACGCGAGCUGGGUUUAGAACGUCGUGAGACAGUUCGGUCCCUAUCUGCCGUGGGCGCUGGAGAACUGAGGGGGGCUGCUCCUAGUACGAGAGGACCGGAGUGGACGCAUCACUGGUGUUCGGGUUGUCAUGCCAAUGGCACUGCCCGGUAGCUAAAUGCGGAAGAGAUAAGUGCUGAAAGCAUCUAAGCACGAAACUUGCCCCGAGAUGAGUUCUCCCUGACUCCUUGAGAGUCCUGAAGGAACGUUGAAGACGACGACGUUGAUAGGCCGGGUGUGUAAGCGCAGCGAUGCGUUGAGCUAACCGGUACUAAUGAACCGUGAGGCUUAACCUUACAACGCCGAAG